GAUGAACGCUGGCGGCGUGCCUAAUACAUGCAAGUCGAGCGAACAGAUGAGGAGCUUGCUCCUCUGACGUUAGCGGCGGACGGGUGAGUAACACGUGGAUAACCUACCUAUAAGACUGGGGUAACUUCGGGAAACCGGAGCUAAUACCGGAUAAUAUAUUGAACCGCAUGGUUCAAUAGUGAAAGACGGUUUUGCUGUCACUUAUAGAUGGAUCCGCGCCGCAUUAGCUAGUUGGUAAGGUAACGGCUUACCAAGGCAACGAUGCGUAGCCGACCUGAGAGGGUGAUCGGCCACACUGGAACUGAGACACGGUCCAGACUCCUACGGGAGGCAGCAGUAGGGAAUCUUCCGCAAUGGGCGAAAGCCUGACGGAGCAACGCCGCGUGAGUGAUGAAGGUCUUCGGAUCGUAAAACUCUGUUAUUAGGGAAGAACAAAUGUGUAAGUAACUAUGCACGUCUUGACGGUACCUAAUCAAAAAGCCACGGCUAACUACGUG
rnacentral:rRNA from 1 species